GGACUUGAGCUGAACUGAUGAAAAAAGAAGCAUUUUAGCCAGAAGUUUUGAUUUUUAAAGUAUUUCCAACUCCAGUUUCUAAUUUAAAUUCAAAAGGGAAAAGCCCUCAAAAUGCUAUCUUUAAAAAAAAUCUGGUUUUAUUCAAAUUCUGGUGUGAUGAAAAUCAAAAACUCUUUUUGAGCUUGAAAUCCUUACCCUAAAAACAAAUGCUUUAUGUAACAACUACAUUUUUAAUAGCAGAAAAAUUUAAACCAAAAUUAGUUAUUUGAUGCUAAGCUUUUAUUUUGGUCAGUCUCUGGUCCUAUAUUUAAUCUGACUCCAUCAAGGAUGGGAAAAACUUCAACGGUGAGAAUGACAGCAAGCACAGGAGUGGGGCGUGGAAGGAAAGCCAGGACAGCUGGGCUAGAGCUUGGCUACCUUCAACCAGAUACCUCCAGGGGAAGGCAGGGGAGGAGGAAGACUUUAAUAAUUAGUCCUGGGCUCCCUGGAGCAUUUCCAGUUUGCAAAUUACCACUGCUUUAUUAGGCUCUAAUUCAAUCUGCUCCGGGACAUUGCUUGCAAAAGCCUUUUUGAAGAAGAAGUGUGGGAAGCGCCCCAGUAUGGGGCUCAUGCGUGGCCCGUGGUGGCACACCCUGGAUGGUGCCUGCCCUGGCUGGGUUCCACCCCCGUUCCCCAUCCUUUGCAGGAGAGAAAAAUGUGACUCCAGCGUUGCUGGAGAUCCCUGACUGCAUUAAGUGCCCUUGUGGCAUGAUAAGUCCCACAAUGACAAGAUGUGUAUUUGUUAGUGUGUGUCUAUAGGAUUAGGUUUGCUGGAAAUCGGGGUCUUUUGGGCAGCCUGGGCACUGGUGUCUGAGUGAGGGGCGAGGGAUCCUGCUCUGUGCUGGGAGAGGGAAGAAGCUGAAAGGAUAAUGAAACCCCAAGUGCCAUCAGAGCUGCCCGUGCUCACAGCCCAGCCCAGCACCAGCUCAGCAGCCCAGGCGGCCCCUCCCUGCUCCCCGCGGGAUAACCCAAAAGCCUCCCAGGAUCCCUUCCCAAGACCCUCUAAGUGGAAUAGUUUUCCAGCGCUGUUGGUCUGGGAUCACAUCCAUACCCCGCAGGGAGGUUUGGCUUGCACAGACACACAUGCACACACAGCCUGCAGCCUUGUGCCAGUGGGGUCCACAGCACCCCAGCCUCCCAAAAACUGCCUCCUUCUUCUAGCAGCUGAAAAAGUAGUCCCUAACUAAAACACGGCAAGUCUAAUUUUUGGGUGAGAGCCCACGAGAUGGGCAGAGUUUGACUCAAAACCACCCAUGAAAAGUGUGUGGUUGGACAUUGCCACCCCCAGAGAUGGUUUUUUCCUAUAAGCGUGACCCCUUGGUUUAAAGCUGGAUGAUUUUCAUCAAAGGAGAGAAGAAAUUGAGCGAGAUCCUACAGGAGGACUAAUAAAAGGUGCCAGACUGAAAGACCCUGCCCCUAAACCCUAAAAAAGGGUUAGCCUUGGCUCUUUCCCCCCACUCAUGGCAGAGAGCUCUUGUGCCUUCUGAGUUCACUUCUGAGAAUGAAACGCUCUGGCAAACAGGGUGAAAGGAGAGGGUGGAGAAGAGGGAAUGAAGAGGAUGAAUGGGAGGGAUCCAGCCCUGUUCUUAUCUGAUUGCUGCUGAGUGAGGCAUGAUGAAUUCCCCAGCAACAGGUCUGUUUUGUCAGAAGGCCUCUUAUCAGAUGGCACAAGCCCAGUGGUCUGGCCAUGGCCAUUAAUCACCCAUCAGCAGCUCUCCUCCAAAGAGAAAAGUUUUCCCCCCCCUUUUCCCUGUUGGCCCCAAGCUGCAGCAAGAAACUUCCACCCAGCCAAAGCCCCCCUCCCCCCAAGGAGCACAGGAGAUGGCCCCAUGAUGGGGAUGGUGGAGACCCCACACCCUUCAGAUAAGGGAAUAGAAGUGGGUGUGAGGUGUGGGAGAGCAAACCACCCCAGUCCCACGAGCCCUCUUCUCCUCUAUGUUGAGUGCCCGGGACACAGUGGCAGGGACAUACCCCCGGGAUCAGCUGGUGUCCAUCCCUGAGCUGGGAACAUCCCUGGGCCGGAACAGCAGGGUGAUGGGGCACCCCAGACUUACUGACAGUCCCCCAUUGUCUCACCUUUGCCACCGCAGCCAAAGCUGCAGAGCCUCUGGCACAGCAUCACUCACACCAGGAGCUUUGGGGAGAAGGCUUGGUGGCCAGUUUGGCUCCCACACCAAACCAGGGGCCCUGGCACCCCCCUCGCCUGUGCUCCCUAAUCCCCAGCCUGCUGCUCCACCCUCCCUGCACAGCAGCUGCCGGCUGCCUGGAGCUGCACAGGGCUCUCAGCUCGCUCCGUUUUCUCACGGUGCUUGUCUGCAGCUGGUGGCAAGUGACAGGCUCUGCGAGUUAAGCUCUGGGAAGCCCGUUUUUAUUUUAUAACCUGUCUUUCCUUGUCUUUCCUAGGUUAGCUGGAACUCAGGAGCACAGAUUACCCCAACCUCGGGGUAGCCAUGAGAAGCAACUUUAAUGCAAAGCAAUUUGUCAGAGCAAAGGGAGAAGAUACAAAUGUGCAUGUGUGUCAUCUUGUAAUGUAUGUGGGCAUAUCAGAGCCCCAACAUCAGGGUGGCCCCAAAAGGUGGGAGGAUGCCUCAUGAUCAAAGAUAUCCCUCUGCCUGUGUGACAACCCCUUGCAGCACCUGGACUGUGCACAGCCCCGGACCGCAUGGGGACACCAGUGGGCUGCAAUCCUGCAGGGCUGCAAACUGCUCCAGUAGUGAGACUGUCCCCACAUGUCACCACGAUGGCAGACAGGAGGGAAAUGCUGGAUACCAGCUCAAACAUGGACAUCUAUCAAAUCCAGGCAGGGGUAACCAGUAUCUCUGAGGCAUCCAGGAAUGAGAUUGGUGUUUGAAAGGCAGCAGAGGUGAGGGAAACCAGGGGAGAGGGAAGAGGGGGAUGCUCAGUCCCAUCUGGCCACUCAGCCAGACCAAGAGUGACCAGAGUCCAGCUUUUCCAACCGAUCCACUGAGACACCCUCAUGCAGCAUGCAACUGCCCCUGUAAAACCUUUUGGAGGCUUGGAGCAUGCAAAGGUGAAGUUGCAUGAAGGAGGCAGAUGGGGCUGUUCUUGGGGUCAUGCUGCCUGGAAGCAGAGCAGGAGUGCUCCUGUUCCAGUGCUCUGCAGGAUGCAGCUGGAGUGAGACAUUUGCCCCUGGCCCUGGCUGCAGCGGGACUGAAGGCUGGAAAAUUUCAGUCAGGAGGAGAAAGGAGGGGUCAGUGUCAGGAGCUGUCUGCAGUGGGUUGGUGUUCUCUUACCUCCCUCCACGGCCACGCCAGGGCUGCCGGAGGAGCUGUCUGCGUGCUUUGGGUCUGGUGCCAUCAGCAUAAAGGUGACAUUUGUCCCUUGGUCACACUUUCCCCAUGCCCAGAUGGUGCAAAGUCCUCACUGUCCCUGUGUCAGCUGAGGCACAGAACAGGGAUGCCAACUUGGCAGCUGACAGCAAAGCCAGACGUGGGGGGGUGCAGGCAGGGGGUUGCCAUGUGUGGCUCGUGCUUCAGGGAGCUGAGCACAGUCACCCUCCCUGGGAGAUUUUAAAACUCGCUGUCUUUUUUCACAAAGGGGCCAAACAAGGUUCUUCUGUCCCCUGACACUAAUUUUUCUUCACUCUCUUCUGUGGGACCUCACAUGAGACUGCUGCAGCAGUGGGCCACUGUGGAAUGGGAUUUUUUGUCACACUUCAUGGGAGGGUUACUGCCAGAAAAUUCAGCCUGGAAAAGCAACAGUCUUCCACCCAAGGUCUGACUGAAGGUGAGGUCCAUCACAGCAUGGUGGCAAUCUGUUUGCUCAGCUCCUGGAGCAUCGUGGGUUGUGUCAGUGAGGCCAGCACUGGGCCCCACUGUGCCAUGCCAACUUGAUGUCACAGGAAGGAAAAAUACCCUGAAUGAGAGCUCAUGGCUGUGAGUAAUGGAAAGCAGUUUUCUCUUGUAAUGCCUGGCCAUAGAAUGUCAGAUAGAUGUAAAAGUUAUAAAUACAUCACAGAGCAAAUAAUUACAGCACGGCACUAACUCCUUGCUUCAAGAGAGCUGCUGAUCUCCCUGGGCACCGCCCAGCCCUGGGGAGAUGAGCCAAGAACAACCUGAGGAUGGGACAUAAAUGUGUGCAAACUCCCUUUGCUGGCAGGUGUUUAUCUGCUGCCUCCAGCAGUUUGGGUGGGAGCUGGUGCUUGCAGGGGAUCUCAGAGCUGCCAUUGCUGAGUCUCAUGGUGACAUAGCUGAGCGUGGCUGUGCUGAAGGACGGUGUGUGCUCCAUGGUGUGAUUAGCCAGGUGAGAGCCAAGGGCAGACACAUGCCCAGCUGCGCUGACUGUGGGAGGCAGCAGCCCAUAAGGUUUUAGGGGGAGUAUGUUCUCAUAGCAGGGAACUUCUCAACACGUGGGAGGAACAGCCUCCUCUCAGCUGUACAGCAGAGCACUGUGGAUGGGGUUGUCCAUGUACCUCCCAGUGAACAUGCGUUGAAGGAGAAACAGGAAGAGUCCAGAUGAUCUCCAUCCUAGCCACCACUAUGCAAAUGACACUGGCACAAGGACUUAGGAAGCUCAGCAUCCCCUCAGUACUGAACUGAUGGGUGCAGCGUUCCCAAAGCAAGUGCCUGUGGGUGCUCAGGGGGGAGCAGCCAGAGCAGGGUCCUGCCGAGGACCAGCACUGUCAGAGGGGCUGGGUACACUGCCCUCAGUGCCAAGAAAUUACCCUCUGAUUGCUUGCCAUUGUGGUGGGAUGCCAGAAAUUUCCUAUAUAUACACACACACACUCAUACAUCUAUACAUGGCUGUAACAGUUGAAGCAGACCCCAAACCCUUAUAGAACAUUCCUGAGAAACCUCUUGCUUCUGCAGCGCCAAGACUUCAGAGCAUGGUUUCAGAGCUCCAAAGGUACGACUCAAGGGUGAAACACAAGCCUAGCAUGGAAUUCCUGCAGCAGGGUUUCACAGAAGGGCAAGAUGCAGAGGAGAAGGAGGGCUCAGAGGAACAGGUGCAGGCAGUCUUGCAAUGCUUCCCUCUGUCUACAAAUACACCAGUGGAAAUAGUGAGAGGAGCAGAGAGCAACGAUGCAAUAAAUCUUUUAAAAGAAACAAUAAGAGCAGGACAGCUGGCAUAAAAAGGAGCAUGUUCCCCUGGCUACCAGUGGCUUUAGGAAUGAAAAAAGUGGAGUGAGUGAGGGACAACAUAGUGACAGGGUAAGAGCAAAGAUCCCAGAGAAAUUUAAAUCCUGGGAUCCUGAGAAAGAUUCCCGGGAAAACUGGGUGCUUUUCGAAAGACUUGGAGGAGAGUUAGUCUCUGUCCAGAACACCGUUUGAGGAAAAGAAAUGCCAGAAAUUGUGGUGCGUAAGCUAAAUACUGAAGGAAGAACAGCAAAGAAUACAUAAACUUUUGGGUGUACCAAGGAGGGAUGGGAGGAGAGGGUGCUGAGUGAACAAGUAUGGAGGAAAACCACCCAUCUGAGAUCAUCUGUGUGCUUUACAAAUUGGUGUUUCUUCCCAAAACUCAUGGGGUUUAUGCCUAACCUUCAGUCCCCAGCACCUUAGCCAGAGAAGCACCACUCUAAUACCCAGCUCCAACCUUGGCUCAGUGGUGUCUUGGACGGAGUGUUCAUUUCAUAAUAAUCUGUUUUCUUCUCUGUCCAGCUGUGAAUUUGUUACUAUUUAAUUUCCUUGCCUUACCCUCUUGGUCUGGUAUUGCCAGAGACUCUAACACAGGAUCCUGUGCUUCCCCUGAGUCUCCCCUUCUCCUAUUCACAGACCCUUUCCAACAUGAAAUGAGAAGCAGCUUCCCCCCAGGCUGUCCCUGUGUAUGCCUCCAGCUUGUUCUCUUGGCUACAUUUCUGCUGAGGAACAUGCUGGAAUGCUAAAGCUGUGGUAAUGAGUAACACACUUCUUCAAUGGGACGAAGCUUUCUGAAUGCACUGUGCUUUACAGCUACCAUAAAUAAUGAAAUCAGUAUUUGUAAACUAUACUUUAAGGAAUCCAUUCUUUUCCAGAGAUUUCAAAAGCGUGUCGUUUUCCAUAUUGAGAAGUUUGCCAGUUCAUCUAUUUUUAGAAAUUCUCACUCUACUGAUGUGGUCAAGACAGUCCUUAAACAGAAAAGGAUGGCUGCACGCCUCGAAGGUAUAAACAGCCAGACAUGUGAUGGGAAAUGCUUCAGAGUUUUCAGGCCCCAACUUUAUGUUCCCUGCAUAGAACACCAGCUGCACAGAAGGGGUGUUUCUCCCACUCCACAGUGAGACCUUGUCCUUGUUUGAGAUACACCGGCCAACCGCCAUGGGAAGGGGUCAUCCUAUGUAAUUCCAGGUCCCCUCUUGGCCAUAGACAGUGUCCUGUCUCCAGCUGCAACUCUUCUUAGGUGCUCCCAAGAAACAUGACAAACCCCCUGGCUGCAUAGAACCAGUGCCGCUUUUGGACUGAAGGAGCUCCCUGACUCUUGCAGGUGCUUCGAUUAUCUUUUCAAACUGCUCUCUGCAAAGCUGUGCCCUUUUUGCCUCUCAUUGCAGGGCUUGCCUGGCCAGGUCCUUCCUUUGGCCUCUCCUUGUGUCCCCACAUUCCCCUCUGGGAGCCAAUUUCAGCACUGAUCACUGCAUCCUUGCAGCUCUCCCAUCCUGAUUGCUCCCUCUCCAGACUCCUUAGGCCUGAGCUGGGGCUUGGACUCAAUGUGACUCCCAAGUCUUCCUUUGAGCCAUGACUUUCCUAGGCACCCCUGGCAUCCUGGGCUGACCAUGCAUCUGUUGGGGACCCAUUAGGACUGGGUGUGACCCUGCAGCCAGGUGUGACUCCCUUCCUGGCUGCACAGGGUGAGGUGUACCCCCUAUUGUGCUUUCACACACCUGGGAGAUCAAGCAAUGGUGCUCAACACUUCGCAGGUGGUGACAACCCUGCACUGUGGACACUGGGCUUCUGUGGCAGCAUCCUUCCAGCCCAGGCAGGGGCAGAACUCGCACAAGGGUUUGCAGCUCCCCUUGCAGAAUUUGCCCCAGCUCUGCUCUGAGCUGCCUGUUGGGACAGGAGGCAGCAACACACAAACACCUCCCUGCAUCCUGUCUUCCUCUCAAAUCUGGCUUUUACAAACCAUGAGACUCUGAUCAAACCUGGCCCUGCUCCAAGGUUCACGCAGGCAGUGGUAGGGAGGGAGAAGGAGGGAAGCAGAGAGCAAUCCAUAACCUUUGGAGCACUCUUGAGAGCAGCUGUCUGGCAAAUGUCAAGCACUGUCUAGGGCUAUUUUGGGCACUUUAUUUUUAUAAAGGAUGUUUUGAGGUGGGGGAAGGGUGCAAAGGAGGUUUUCUCAUUGCCACCACCUUAAAGAAUAAAACCCUGGGGAGGAAAAUUCAAGAACCCUCCUUGGUCAUGUGGCCAAUGCCACAUCCCAUUGGAACAUCCCUGGAGGCUUUCAGACACGCAGAUUGGAGAAGGGCCUUGGCUUCUCUUGUGAUUGGAGACCUCCUGGAGGAGCUCAAACCCCUUGAGAUCCAGGGUGAGGAUCAUGGUGUGGACAUGCAAGUACCCUCCCUGCAAGGGGGAUCAGCACCCCAUGCGGCCCAGUCCCAGGAGGACUCUGGGGUGAGAAACCACCAGUUUUUGAAUGUUCCUCCUAAGGAGUCUCAUAAAUAUCCUCUUAAUUAUGGAUGUUUUCCACUGCUGUCCCAUUGAACCCUCCAAGCUCCCAAGAGCCCUCAGACUCCUUCAUCUGCAGCAGAGCCAAGACCCAGAGCCAAGAUAUUACACAAGAAGGAGUAGAGCAUCUGAAAGAUCCUUGCCUGAAAGAUGUAUGGAGCAUAACUGGAGCAUCCAACAGAAAAGCAUUCUUACUGACAAGAAGGGAUGUUCUUCCACGAGCGGAAAUUGUUGCAGAAAAUCAGUGUGUUUGUAAACAUUUCUUCUGGUGAUCCUGAAGAAAAAAGUAGUUCUCAUUUGUAAUAAUUGGAGGCUUCAGUCCCUCCACAAUAUGUCUCUUUAUCAGAGACAAAAGUAGCAUUGAAGUAGGAGAAACAACCCCUCAAUAUUUUUUACUAUAAAAUGGUAUGUGGUGUGUUUAGUGUUUUUAGACUGGAUGAUCCAUUUUAGAAUUAAACUGGGAUCAAACUUGCUGCAAGGAUCUCAGAGCCAUCAGUGGCUGGGAAGAUGUUCUCUUAGUAGCCCAAGACCAGGAACCACAGUACCCAUCUAAGUGAGGAAAAAAGAAGGAGUGGGGAGCUACAAACCACUUCCCAUCCCAGAAAAAUGCUGGCAUGAAUAAUCUGAAGCAGUUUUGUGAGCAUCUGGAAGUUAGCACAGAGAUGAGUAAUACCUGAUAUAACUUUGUCAAGAAUGAGACACGUCAGGCCAAUUUAAUUUCCUUCAGCAGCAGGGUACAAGGAGCCCACAGAUGGCGAAGCAGUGGUGGCUGUGGGAUGGGGAUGCUGUGCCUCCCUUGCUGUAGGACAGGGAGCAGGGCCAGGCAGGGUUCUCAUGAUGGGUGCAGAGGGAGCGAGAGGCAGCUCUCAAAGGCUCACUGUGGGGCUGGAAAGCCACUAUUGAGCACUCCCAUUAACAGCCAGCACGGAGAAACAGAGAGAGUAUUUAUUAAAUUUGCAUGCCACGAAGGGCCAGGGCUGCAGACAGAAAAAGGAUUGUGGCAAACUGGAGAAACGGGAUGAAAAGCUGGGAGGAGGCUGAGGAGGAGGGGAGUGUGCUGUGGCGUGUUCCUGCAAGAAGGGGGCAGGGGAAAUGUCUCCUGGGCUGCUGCUGCCUGCUUGCCACCUCUGCUGCAGCCUGGAGCUAUGGAGGCAGCCUCAGGAGGUGCUGCUGACCGUGCAAAUGCAGACAGGAGAGGUUCCCGUGCAGCCCUACGGAGUCUGCGGUGCCUGGGCAAACACAGGUGACAGCCACCUGUGGGCACCCACCACAUCUGGGCAGGAGUGGACUGGACGAGCUCUGGCACAUGUGAUGUGCCAUGCAAUUUAUACACCUUUAAUUCCCAGCGCUGUGGUCUGAGCCAUUUCUGUAUUAAAUUUAAUCAAUUUAACGCGGGAAGCUGUCAGCACCAGGUGGGUGGCCUCCCUUACGGAUGGUAGUGCAGGUGGGGUUAAAACCAGCAGCAACUCAAACCCUCCUGCACUGGUCCCAGGAAGCUUGUCCCUUGCAGGAAGGGAAGGCAUGCCUAGGAACAAAACCCUGGUAGCCAGCUGCAGCCAGCUGCUUUCUGCCAGUGCUGGGAUAAGGUAUGGCUUAAAGUGAGCUACUGAAGGCCGCAGCGAGAAAUGAAACACAAGUAAAUACAUCUCCCUGCAGCCCCUACCUGCAAUGGGAAGAGGAUGCUGAAGAGGGGAUGAGACUGCAGGAGAGCUGGGCACUCCAGGGCUGAGAACCAGUGGAGCUAUGGGGCAGCUGCCAGCCUGGGCAGGGAUGUCUUUCACCCGCAGCAGCGUCAAACAGAAACGGAAAAGAGUUAACUUCUGUCUUUGUCAGCCUGUGGAGCCAGAGUGGAAACAACCCCCCAGAUCCUGUUUUUCCGUGCUCUCAGAAGAAUGUAAACCUUUUUAAACAAACCCCAAACUUCUUAGCAAAGGAAAAAUAGAAAGAAAAAAAUAAAGCAGGUCCAAACUGUUAA